UGCUACAAUGGCCGGUACAAAGGGCUGCGAUACCGCGAGGUGGAGCGAAUCCCAGAAAGCCGGUCUCAGUUCGGAUUGGGGUCUGCAACUCGACCCCAUGAAGUCGGAGUCGCUAGUAAUCGCAGAUCAGCAACGCUGCGGUGAAUACGUUCCCGGGCCUU
rnacentral:rRNA from 1 species